rfam:Salmo salar isolate Sally breed double haploid chromosome ssa03, whole genome shotgun sequence.
UGUAUUCACUACUGUAAGUCGCUCUGGAUAAGAGCGUCCGCUAAAUGACGUAAA